GACGAACGCUGGCGGCGUGCCUAAUACAUGCAAGUCGAACGCUUCUUUCCUCCCGAGUGCUUGCACUCAAUUGGAAAGAGGAGUGGCGGACGGGUGAGUAACACGUGGGUAACCUACCCAUCAGAGGGGGAUGACACUUGGAAACAGGUGCUAAUACCGCAUAACAGUUUAUGCCGCAUGGCAUAAGAGUGAAAGGCGCUUUCGGUUGUCGCUGAUGGAUGGACCCGCGGUGCAUUAGCUAGUUGGUGAGGUAACGGCUCACCAAGGCCACGAUGCAUAGCCGACCUGAGAGGGUGAUCGGCCACACUGGGACUGAGACACGGCCCAGACUCCUACGGGAGGCAGCAGUAGGGAAUCUUCGGCAAUGGACGAAAGUCUGACCGAGCAACGCCGCGUGAGUGAAGAAGGUUUUCGGAUCGUAAAACUCUGUUGUUAGAGAAGAACAAGGACGUUAGUAACUGAACGUCCCCUGACGGUAUCUAACCAGAAAGCCACGGCUAACUACGUG
rnacentral:rRNA from 1 species